UCAAAUUUUAGAAGUUCUUUGUCAUUAUUUCUUCAACUACUAUGUCUUCAUUUCCUCAGUUCUCGUUUUAGGAUUUCCGCUAUGCAUAUGUUGAGAUGUGUGAUGAAGUUCCACAGAUCUCGGAAGCUCUGUUGAUUCUUAUCUUGUUCCUUAGACUAAAUAACCUUAAUUUGCCAUCAGAUUUAAUCGUUCUGUCUUCCUCUAUUUUGCACCCUCGGUCACUGUGAUUUUCAACUCGAGGAUUUCCAUUUGCUUGUUUUCCAUGAUACACACACCUUUAACCCUGUUGUCUGACGGGUGAGGCAUUUCCCAUGCUUUUCUGUGGUGCUUCAGACGUGGUUUUCUUUUGUUCUUUGAACAUUUUUUUUUCUAGUAUGGUUCUUUCCUAAUCAAGUUUUUUUCCUAGUAUUCCCAGUGUCUAGAUUUCUUCAGGAGUUGUUUUCAUUACUAAAAGUUUUAUGUGGAAGUUUAUUCACUGCAGUUCCUUUGUUCCUACGUGGGCCAUACUUCUUUGUGCAGGUCACAGUUAAAUAUGAACAUUUAAAAUAACACAGACUAACAACUCCUUAGGUCUUGUUAUUGCUGUUUCUGUUGUUCCUAUUAUUUAUUUCACAGUUCUCUAGAACUAACUCAAUGAAGGCUGCAUUCUGUUCAGGAAUGGCCACUGAAAACUGGUGAACGUAGUGGUCAGACAACGAUCAAAGAUUCCCUUAAAACCCCGGCAUCAUGAAGCCUCCCAGCUUUGCCAUAGUUCUAGUUCUCUAAGCAUAUUAGAGCAAUACUCCUCCAAUCUACAACCCGGAAGUAGUCCUCUUUUCCCAUUUUCGGAGUCUCAAGACCAGCCAGAGGUGAAUGACGGGGCCUUGGCAAAACUUCCUGGAGCAGCCUGCUGCUCUUUGCAUGCAAAUGGCCUCCUGGAUCGCAGCACUGUCCUCAAGGUUUUCAAAGCUCUGGUGGAGAUUGUGUCUUUGGCUUUUCCUCUUAGUAUUUUUGGCGACAUCUUAUUACGUUAGCUGUGUUUAUGACCUCGGGCCACUGUUAUGUUAAAUGAUCGUCACUGAUUGUUUGGGACAAAUGCUCUAGGGAAAAGGCCGUCUGCAGAGAGUCAGCUCUCACUCAGAUGAAGACAGGCUCCUGUGGAUGUGCAUUGCUAAGGGACUGGCCAGGUCUAAUGCAGACAGUGAUCCAGGUGUGGGCUCUGGGGGAGCUCUCAAGCCGCACUUCCCCCUCCAGGAGCUUCUAGGCUAAACCUUUCGUGGCUGGUGUGAUUGUGAGGCUGUGGCUCACAGGCAUCUGGGAGAGGCAGAAGGGAAUAAGGCAACGGAUAAGGCCAAAGCUCACUCCUAUUGCUGGGAUUCCGUGAGUUAAAAAUACAGAGCUCAGAUUGUAGAAACUCGCUGGUCUGCCAAGGUCUGGCAAAGCCGACUUUGGACGUUUUGCAAUCUCACUGCUUUUGUGGUCAGCAGGUUUCUGCAGGUCCUGCUCUGCCGGUGUGCGCACGGCUCCUCCCUCUGUGGAAGCUCACGUGUAGCUCUUUGUCCUCUGGGUUCAAAUGGCCUGUUCGCCAACCCCGACUCUUGAUAUCAGGUGAAGCUCAGGGGGUUCUUGUUUCCCAGUGAUGCUCUUGAUGCUCUCGUGAGUUUUCAGAGAUUUCAGGAUGCUCACCGAAGUCUGCUACCAGGAACAGACUGUGUUGGGUGUUGAAGUAGCAAGUGCUUUGAGAAAGAAUUGCCUCUGGAUAAUGAAAAUGAUGAAAGUUUAAAAAGAUGAUAACUCGCAAUAGCUGAAAGAGGAAGCCGUGACUCUCUCCUUUGUCUCCGGAGGCGAAGGUCCACGUUCAGGAGAACAGAGGUAGCCGGCUCCCUGGACGCCAGGUGUAGGAUCAGGAGGAAACGCAGGACAUCCACACGCUGUCCUCUGCCACUUCAGUCAGGGCAUGGUGGACGUGGACCCCCACACUUUCUUUUUCCAGUUGGGACAGAUGAACAAGACUGCAGACGGUUUCCCUAGAAUGUUCUCCUAGAGUCUGGACAUUCCAGACCUUGCCUGUGAGCCCUGGGCCUCUCCAUGCUGGUGGGCCCACGCCUCCAGCAGAUACGGAAACUGGUUUCCAAGUGAACAGAGCGCGUCAGCCCUUCUCCUGAGGCCCCUCCUUGUUUGAUGACCUCUCCUGUAUUGAGCAGAAACUGCACGUCUUUGUAAUUAAAAGCACUUUAAGUCAA